rnacentral:rRNA from 1 species
CAGUCGCCGCGGUAACACGAAGGGGGCUAGCGUUGUUCGGAAUUACUGGGCGUAAAGCGCACGUAGGCGGAUAUUUAAGUCAGGGGUGAAAUCCCAGAGCUCAACUCUGGAACUGCCUUUGAUACUGGGUAUCUUGAGUAUGGAAGAGGUGAGUGGAAUUCCGAGUGUAGAGGUGAAAUUCGUAGAUAUUCGGAGGAACACCAGUGGCGAAGGCGGCUCACUGGUCCAUUACUGACGCUGAGGUGCGAAAGCGUGGGGAGCAAACAGGAUUAGAUACCCGAGUAGUCCCUGUCUCUUAUAA